rnacentral:rRNA from 1 species
GGCGAACGCUGGCGGCGUGCCUAAUACAUGCAAGUAGAACGCUGAAGGAGGAGCUUGCUCUUCUGGAUGAGUUGCGAACGGGUGAGUAACGCGUAGGUAACCUGCCUGAUAGCGGGGGAUAACUAUUGGAAACGAUAGCUAAUACCGCAUAACAGUAGAUGUUGCAUGACAUUUACUUAAAAGGUGCAAUUGCAUCACUACCAGAUGGACCUGCGUUGUAUUAGCUAGUUGGUGGGGUAACGGCUCACCAAGGCGACGAUACAUAGCCGACCUGAGAGGGUGAUCGGCCACACUGGGACUGAGACACGGCCCAGACUCCUACGGGAGGCAGCAGUAGGGAAUCUUCGGCAAUGGACGGAAGUCUGACCGAGCAACGCCGCGUGAGUGAAGAAGGUUUUCGGAUCGUAAAGCUCUGUUGUAAGAGAAGAACGAGUGUGAGAGUGGAAAGUUCACACUGUGACGGUAUCUUACCAGAAAGGGACGGCUAACUACGUG